rnacentral:tRNA from 3 species
AGGGGUGUAGCCAAGCGGUAAGGCACCUGAUUCUGGUUCAGGCAUUCGGGGGUUCAAAUCCUCCCACCCCUGCCA